rfam:Gossypium hirsutum cultivar TM-1 chromosome 25, whole genome shotgun sequence
CCUGAGGAAGCGCUUUAUCCACAUCAGCAGAAAACGCUUCCCUGAGGACGCGAUUUGUGUUGAUGUAGACAAAGCGCUUCCUCAGGG